AGGACGAACGCUGGCGGCGUGCUUAACACAUGCAAGUCGAGCGAGACUUCGGUCUAGCGGCGAACGGGUGAGUAACACGUGGGCAACCUGCCCCGAGCUCUGGGAUAACUCCGGGAAACCGGGGCUAAUACCGGAUACGACCCGAGAAGACAUCUUCUCGGGUGGAAAGUUUUUCGGCUCGGGAUGGGCCCGCGGCCUAUCAGCUUGUUGGUGGGGUAACGGCCUACCAAGGCGACGACGGGUAGCCGGCCUGAGAGGGCGACCGGCCAACGACUGGGACUGAGACACGGCCCAGACUCCUACGGGAGGCAGCAGUGGGGAAUAUUGCGCAAUGGGCGAAAGCCUGACGCAGCGACGCCGCGUGAGGGAUGAAGGCCUUCGGGUUGUAAACCUCUUUCAGCAGGGACGAAGCGAAAGUGACGGUACCUGCAGAAGAAGCACCGGCCAACUACGUGCCAGCAGCCGC
rnacentral:rRNA from 1 species